rnacentral:misc_RNA from 1 species
UCCGGCUUACCACCGGCGGUCCUGUUAGAGUGCCCAACUUAAUGAUGGCAACUAACAGCGAGGGUUGCGCUCGUUGCGGGACUUAACCCAACAUCUCACGACACGAGCUGACGACAGCCAUGCAGCACCUGUGUCCAGGUUCCCUUUCGGGCACCUCUCCCUCUCAGGAGAGUUCCUGGCAUGUCAAGGGUAGGUAAGGUUCUUCGCGUUGCAUCGAAUUAAUCCACAUCAUCCACCGCUUGUGCGGGUCCCCGUCAAUUCCUUUGAGUUUUAACCUUGCGGCCGUACUCCCCAGGCGGUCAACUUCACGCGUUAGCUUCGUUACCAAGGGAAUCAAUCCCCCGACAACCAGUUGACAUAGUUUAGGGCGAGGACUAC